rnacentral:lncRNA from 1 species
CUCAAAUUUUAAAUAUUUACUCUUGGGCAACAAAACUUUUCUCAGUUUUGUGAAUUAGUCCUUUCUUGCAUUAAUAUGUCAUAAUAUACUUUCCAAUGUUGACAUAAAUCAAAAUUUUCCUUUUUGUCACUUUAUUUCCUUAUUUGACUAUAUCAAGUAUACCUACUUUCUUACUGUAGUAAUUUUCGGGAUAUUACAUCGGGCACUCCAGCUAUUAACUUUCGACCUCAUUCUGUCACAAAUCUAAUGAAAAGCUUUUUUCUUUCUUCUUCCU